UCCCCGGUUGGUCUUUCGGUAGGGCCCGCCAGACUUUGAAUCUGGAUAAGCGAAGCAGGUUCGACUCCUGCCCGGGGAACCA
rnacentral:tRNA from 1 species